rnacentral:rRNA from 1 species
CACGUAUUUAGCCGUUCCUUUCUGGUAAGCUACCGUCACACAUUGAACAGUUACUCUCAAUGUCAUUCUUCUCUUACAACAGUGUUUUACGAGCCGAAACCCUUCAUCACACACGCGGCGUUGCUCCAUCAGGCUUUCGCCCAUUGUGGAAGAUUCCCUACUGCUGCCUCCCGUAGGAGUAUGGGCCGUGUCUCAGUCCCAUUGUGGCCGAUCAGUCUCUCAACUCGGCUAUGCAUCAUCGUCUUGGUGAGCCAUUACCUCACCAACUAACUAAUGCACCGCGGGACCAUCUCUUAGUGAUAGCAGAACCAUCUUUAAGUAGCAACCAUGCGGUUGCUAUUGUUAUACGGUAUUAGCAUCUGUUCCAAAUUGUUAUCCCCUGCUAAGAGGUAGUUUCCCAGUGUUACUCACCCGUUCGCCACUCUUGCAAUGUCCAUCGCUAUAUCUGAGCAAGCUCUACAAAUCAGCUAGAACCAACG